rnacentral:rRNA from 1 species
CCUACGGGAGGCUGCAGUGGGGAAUAUUGGACAAUGGGGGGAACCCUGAUCCAGCGACGCCGCGUGAGUGAAGAAGUAUCUCGGUAUGUAAAGCUCUAUCAGCAGGGAAGAAAGAAAUGACGGUACCUGACUAAGAAGCCCCGGCUAACUACGUGCCAGCAGCCGCGGUAAUACGUAGGGGGCAAGCGUUAUCCGGAUUUACUGGGUGGAAAGGGGGCGUAGACGGCUUAGCAAGUCUGAAGGUAAAGGCGGGGGCCCAACCCCCGGACUGCUUUGGAAACUGUAUAGCUAGAGUGCAGGAGAGGUAAGUGGAAGUCCUAGUGUAGCGGUGAAAUGCGUAGAUAUUAGGAGGAACACCAGUGGCGAAGGCGGCUUACUGGACUGUAACUGACGUUGAGGCUCGAAAGCGUGGGGAGCAAACAGGAUUAGAUACCCGGGUAGUC